GGAGUGAGGCAUGUAUUUUCAGCUGCACUUCCGAAAAGGGAGAAUUCUGUCACCGCCAGAGAGGCAACAGCCCCCAAAUGUGACUACGAUCGACUAGAGCGACUAGAGCCGCAGAGGCCUGGGAAUCUCUCUGGAUUGGUAGCUUAGAAUAUGCUAAAGAGCCAGUGCUUUCCUCGGGGAAUAGAAGGGUCAGCUGGUCAACGCAGCAGUGCCCUGGAGCAAGGGAGCCAGAAGACAGUUCUAGGGAGCAAGAGGGACCUUCCGAGGGGCUGACUUGGGGUGCCAAGGUUGCAGCCCCUCUGAUGGGAUGCUGGUGAGGUCCUGGGGCCCAGGGAGCCAGUGGGACUGUGCAAGGGGCUGCCCGGUGGGUGAGAACUGCAGGUGUGACAGACCUCUCCUCCCUGCUUAGGAACUGGAGGGUGUCAGAGCCCCCUGUCCCCCUCCGCAAGAUGAGGACUCUGAACACCUCUACCAUGGACGGGGCCGGGCUGGUGGUGGCGAGAGACUUCUCCUUCCGCAUCCUUACAGCCUGUUUCCUGUCUCUGCUCAUCCUGUCCACCCUCCUGGGGAACACGCUGGUCUGUGCGGCCGUCAUCAGAUUCCGACACCUGCGGUCCAAGGUGACCAACUUCUUUGUCAUCUCCUUGGCCGUAUCGGACCUCCUGGUGGCUGUUUUGGUCAUGCCCUGGAAAGCAGUGGCAGAGAUUGCUGGCUUCUGGCCCUUUGGGUCCUUCUGUAACAUCUGGGUGGCCUUUGACAUCAUGUGCUCCACCGCGUCCAUCCUCAACCUCUGUGUGAUCAGUGUGGACAGGUAUUGGGCCAUCUCUAGCCCCUUCCGGUACGAGAGAAAGAUGACCCCCAAAGCAGCCUUCAUUCUGAUCAGCGUGGCGUGGACUUUGUCUGUACUCAUCUCCUUCAUCCCAGUGCAGCUCAGCUGGCACAAGGCCAAACCCACAGGCUCCUCCGACGGGAAUGCCACUUCCCUAGGUGAGACCAUGGACAACUGUGAUUCCAGCCUGAGCAGGACAUAUGCCAUUUCAUCCUCCCUGAUAAGCUUCUAUAUUCCCGUGGCCAUCAUGAUCGUCACCUACACCAGGAUCUACAGGAUCGCCCAGAAACAAAUACGGCGCAUCUCAGCCUUGGAGAGGGCCGCAGUCCAUGCCAAGAAUUGCCAGACCGCCACAGGUAACGGCAACCCUGUGGAGUGUUCUCAACCAGAAAGCUCCUUUAAGAUGUCCUUCAAAAGAGAGACUAAAGUCCUGAAGACCCUGUCCGUGAUCAUGGGGGUGUUUGUGUGCUGCUGGCUCCCUUUCUUCAUCUUGAACUGCAUGGUGCCCUUCUGUGGGUCUGGGGAGACCAAGCCCUUCUGCAUCGAUUCCAUCACCUUCGACGUGUUUGUGUGGUUCGGGUGGGCUAAUUCCUCCUUGAACCCCAUCAUUUAUGCCUUUAAUGCGGAUUUUCGGAAGGCAUUUUCAACUCUUUUAGGCUGCUACAGACUUUGCCCCACCACCAAUAAUGCCAUAGAGACAGUCAGCAUCAAUAACAACGGGGCUGUGGUGUUUUCCAGCCAUCACGAGCCCCGAGGCUCCAUUUCCAAGGACUGCAAUCUGGUUUAUCUGAUCCCACAUGCAGUGGGCUCCUCCGAGGACCUGAAGAAGGAGGAGGCGUGUGGAAUGGCCAGACCCUUGGAGAAGCUGUCCCCGGCCCUAUCUGUCAUAUUGGACUCUGACGCUGAUGUGUCUCUGGAGAAGAUCCAGCCCAUCACACAAAAUGGACAGCAUCCAACCUGAACCCUGAGAUGAGUCCUGCCAGAUGGGUUCACCCCAAAAGGUGGAGAUUUUCAGUGGCUUGCUGUUAGGAGACUAAGGUGUGGGGAGACCCUGAGAUGUCAGGCAAGCCCCACCCCCCACCCCUCUGCUGCUUGCCCUCAACACACAACUAACUAUAUCUUCAAAUACUUCCCAGUGCGUUUUCUGUGUUGUUCAUAGUGAAUCAAAGAGGGACAUAUGUGAAGUGAAUGUUCACAGGGACGUGUCUUUGGCUCCAAAAUUAUUUUUAGAAACUGGUUCUUAUCUUAGGACUUCACAUAUAGGGCAAAGAAUCCACAAUGAACGGCAUCGCUUCAAAAAGUUAAUCCUUUCCAGGAAGGAAAUGAGAAGGGUUGAGUUUGCUGUGUAUUAACAGGUGCUAACACUGGUCCGGGCAGAGUUUUCAGAUGGUCAAGUGUCAGAUAGCUUUUCUGAACAAAACAGACUGCCGUCCUGGUUAAAUAUGUGUCGUGAAGACAAUAGGUUUCCUUCACUCUUGCUUUACAACAGUCUCACCAAUGGACAGAGGUCAAAGGCUGCAUCUCCAUCUUUCCGGGUCAAAUCACACCACUCAGUGGGGUGACUUUUUGUAGCGCUUUGAUCGGAAUUUAGGAUUGAUUUUUUUUUUUUUUUUUAAGUCUCGAUGUGAAUAGUGUACUAACUAACGAAUAGUGCCUCAUUAUCAUCCUCAAGUUAGACACUUAUUUCUCUUGCUGGGAAAAAACAGGAGACCCCUUCUCAGUUGGAUGUGUGAAGUGCCCCAAAGCCAUCAGUAUCUCUUUUGCCAAAUGCUAGCUCCCUCUCUGUGCUUUGGAAUCAAGUUGCUAUCUCAUCAUCUCAACUGUAGGAAGUAUCAGGAGUCUCUGUUGCCAGAUACUCAUUCAUGUGGGGCAUUUCAGGAGGAUUUCUUUGAAAUGUUUACAAAGUCUUGUUGAUAAGCAAUUUACUUAACAUUUAGAUGAAAUGGGUAACAAGAAAGAAAUCUACUGCAAACUCUCUCUUGCAUCAGGUCUGUGUUAUUUAUGCAUUGUGAAUGUUUCUUCAUUUUAU